GGCAGAAUUUGCAGUGUGAUCAGCAAGUCUACGCUGAGGAUGCCCAUCUUCUCUGCCUCCUGGAAGGGGUUUUGGGAAGAAAGGAUCCUGGAAGGCAGGUAGAAAAGAGGAAGAGUAAUCAUAGAUUGUCCCUGCUCUAUUUCUUGGGAGAUGUGAAUCUUACCUUCCGUCUUUACGCCGAUAUACUACGACUGUCUCUCAAUCAGUGUGAGAGCAUCAUGUCCUACCAUUGCCUCCUUCUGGUUGGAAAAAUAAACAAAUGAAUGAUAAGGCUUCCUUUAGUCUCCUUUUUGACUCUGAAAUUGAGAUUAAGAAAAUGAAGUUGGAUAAGCUGAAAAAAGACCUGGAGAUUUCAAGGAUGGGAGCCACCACUAGUCUCCCCUUCCUGUUAUCUGAAGGUGUCAAAGAGCAUUCAAGAACUCUGUGGAAUUCAUGCUGUGGAGUUUCAAGCAGUCUUGGUUUUAUAGAAUUGUAUUCCUUCUAAUUCAAGUGAUUUGUUAAAUAUAAUUUUAAA